GCGAACGCUGGCGGCAGGCCUAACACAUGCAAGUCGAGCGGCCCUUCGGGGCAGCGGCGGACGGGUGAGUAACGCGUGGGAACGUGCCCUUUGGUACGGAACAACUGAGGGAAACUUCAGCUAAUACCGUAUGUGCCCUACGGGGGAAAGAUUUAUCGCCAUUGGAGCGGCCCGCGUUAGAUUAGCUAGUUGGUAGGGUAAUGGCCUACCAAGGCGACGAUCUAUAGCUGGUCUGAGAGGAUGAUCAGCCACACUGGGACUGAGACACGGCCCAGACUCCUACGGGAGGCAGCAGUGGGGAAUCUUGCGCAAUGGGCGAAAGCCUGACGCAGCCAUGCCGCGUGAAUGAUGAAGGUCUUAGGAUUGUAAAAUUCUUUCACCGGGGACGAUAAUGACGGUGCCCGGAGAAGAAGCCCCGGCUAACUUCGUGCCAGCCGCCGCCGUAACAC
rnacentral:rRNA from 1 species